rnacentral:lncRNA from 1 species
CCAGUUGUGGCAUGUGGGAUGCUGCCUCAGCGUGGUCUGACGAGCAGUGCCACGUCCGCGCCCAGGAUUCGAACCAACUAAACACUGGGCCGCCUGCAGCAGAGCGCGCGAACUCAACCACUCGGCCACGGGGCCAGCCCCAAGUCUGUCUGUAUUUUAAAGGGCAUGAUGGGACGUUUUCCACUAUGCCUCCGUGUUGCCAGUGAGGGCAUUAGUCGUGGAGGAGGAGUGAGUGGUCUGGCGGAGUGAAGAUGUCCCUUUGACCAGCUGCGGGGUGGCCAACUCAAUUGAGUUCCGCAUUGAGGACAACUUGGGAGAAAAAUAAACAGAGAUGUGAGAUCCUUAGUCCUCUUCAAAAGAGUGAACUUCUUCUUUCUGUCCGUGGACGCC